CUGUGCUGUCAACCAGCGAGCGCAGGUGUUAACCACCGAAGGGAGGUAGAAUGUUUUUCCCCACCAGAGGAGGCAGCGACCACGUCUCCUCUAUGGAGGCAUUCAAGAGCCGUCCAGCUGAAGCAGCAUCACUGUCUGAGCUCGGAAGGCACAAUCCACAUAGGUCUGCAUGGUCCACCGAGCUGCAUACCCACGGGGCCAGCGGGAGGUGGGCAGCUGCUGGGCUCUCUUCUGAAGCAGACAGGAUCUCACUCUGUUGCUGAGGCUGGAUCACAGCUCCCUGCAACCUUGAACUCUCCCUCAAGCAAUUCUCCCCACUCUGCCUUCCAAAGCACUAGCAUUAUAGGCCUAAGCCACCACUCCCAUCCACUGUAGUGUAAACUGUCUCCUUCAAUGUUUCCAAUAGUUGCGGAGCAGAUCAGAUAAGGGUUCUUCCUGUCUGUUGCUUCAAG
rnacentral:lncRNA from 10 species